UACUCAAAACUGCAUUCAAGUUUGCUCAG
rnacentral:piRNA from 1 species